UAGUAUAACUAAUUACUACAUUUAUUAAACAAGAACAUCUCUCUUCAACUUCCUCUUUUUAGGUCCAGUCAGAGCAGGUGUGCAGUCUAUAUUGUUUAGCCCUAUGCCUUGACUUUAUGGCAAAGUGGAAAGUUCACCUUAAUCUUAUCGCUGCCUUUACUGAGCCCUUCAUGCGAGAGAUAGGGGGGCGGUGACCCAGGGGUCAGCAAAGAUGCCGACCUGAUUAACCCUUGCAGGCCCGGGAUGGAUCAAAGGUUAACCAGGCUAAUCUACAUGAAGGGACUGAUUAAGUUAGAUGAUGAGAAGUCAGAAAUGAAGAAUUACAGUAUGCCCUCUAAAGCAGCAUUGUCUCAUCUCAGAUGGCCCUUGAGAUCUGGACGGAUAGCCUAUUUAUCAGCACAGUAGCCUGUAAUAUCAUUGUGUAGCACAAACAAACCACUUAAUAUUGUUCCUAACCCAAUUGACACUGAGCUGAGAUGUAGCUGCGUAUUGCACUGAUUAUUUACACACUUGUGUAUGUAAGACUUCCUUUAAUUAUUCCUAUUUCCAUUUUGUCCCCAAAACUGACAGCAAUUUUUGAUCCCACCAGAAUCUCAACACUGUAGCUUAGUAGAUCUUAAAAUAAUAGAAAUAUUUUGUGUUCUCCAAGACUUUUUAAAAAAGUGAAUUCUGCAAUAAGUGUAAAAAUACAAAAUAAUAUUUUAAGCUCUGUCAUGACUAUAGGUGAUAGGUUGUAAUGGGUUAUAAUGUAGAGGGGGUUGGACCCUAUAGGCUGGUGUAGUUCAGCCUGGUACAUUUCAGUGCACAUCCCAGAAACAGUGCCUCAGGACGGUUGGGGGAUUUUUCCAACAGUGCCCAGCAAGCACCUUAAAAGAUCACAAAUUAGAUACAGUGAUACAGAGAAGUCAGCUGCAGUAAAACAAUUAGCCUAUUUUGCUACAAAAAAAUAUUAUUUUGCUGAAUUCUAAAAUAUUUGUAUGUGCCAGAAAAUAAAUAAUAAUGAAACAAAACAAACAAACAAAAAGUUUUGCUAACAUGACUAGAGAAACGUGUUUUAAAGUUUACUCUGGACAUUUUUGUUGUAAAAUGCUUUAUUAAUUAUUUUUACAUUUUAUGUUUACGGUAAUUUAAGUUGUUAAACAUGAAGGAGAUGAUUAAUGAUUGAAGCUUUUUUUUAAUGUAAGCAAUUGCCAGAUAUAUCCUCCCUGUAAUAUUCACAACCUUUACACCUUUACAGUAUUUUAUUUAACACUUUUUUAUUACUUUAACCUAGCUGUAUAAUUUACAGAUUUGGAAACUUUGAUCACAUUUUGAUAAAGUUGUUUUGUGACAACAUCAGUUGUAAAAAAGCUAUACAAAUAAAUUUAAUUUGAUUUGAACAUUACGUGCAGUUGAAAUCAUGAAUUCCAAUUAGUUGUAUUUGGUUAUGUCAUUUGACUCCACUGCAGUGUUUAGAACAGGUGGAUAAAUAAUCUAAAGAGAUCAGUAUGAAUUAAAAUAAAACAUACAAAAACCAAACAACAACUAACAGCAUAUAUCAUUAAAUUCUUACAAACUAAUAAAAUAAUGAACAACAAUUUUCAGAACUUUACAAUCAAUAUUAUGUGCAAUCCUUCAGCAUAGUUCCAUCAAAACACGUUAACAAAUUACAUUCACACACACACACACACACACUUACAAGAACUCUUCGGUGUCCAUGCUCAUUCAAAAGCCUCAGAUACCACUUACAGGCAAAUUGAAUGGGAUUAUGGUCUUAUUCUGUACAGACGUCUGGACUGGUGCCCAAAUAUGUUGUAAUUUGUUCAACAUUACCUUCGGUCUUAAAACAACACUGCUGCCUGGGGAAUUCAGAGGACUUAGUGCUUCCUCAUGGCACAAUAAACCCGCACUACAUUUUGCUCUUGUAGAUUUGCCUUUAAUGCUCAGUACAUUCGCUCAGAGCUGAAGCUUUCUUAGUGGUCAGUUCUCAGUGUGAGAAUAAUAUACCCUAAGCUCAUCCUCUUUAAGCCUUCUUUUCUUGUAAUGUAAAUGAAUUGGAUGGAUGUGAGUAGUGAGUUAAAGUUGCAUUAGACUUUAGUCUGCUAUAUUCGGUAUAUAUGUACAGGUGCGUGUGCUUGCAAAUUGCUUGCAUGGUUACAAUGGCUACCUAGAUCCCAGCCAAUCGGUUGCCUUCAUGGAUAAAUAAAAAGUGCUCCUCAGUGUGUGAUGAGGCAUUUGACAACACUGCGUGGGUAGUGAUUGGACAAGGUACUGUGGCAGGCUGUAGUGUAAAUAAUAACAGGAGUUUAUUUUACACUACAUGCUUAUGCAGCGGGAUCUCAGAGGGUGAUCUCAGACAUCAUCAGCACAUACUAGAUUUUAAUAAAUAAAUCAAGUAAAUAGGCAAAUGUACACAAAUGAAGUGGCUUUAUUCUCGUGGUUACCAUUUGACUACCAUUUGGCUUUAUGAUAAGGCUGACAUUGGAUGUGUUAUUUCCAGCACGAUAAAAGCAGGUUAAGGCAGUGCUGCAUGGAAUCUUUGGAAUGCAUUAUUUUUUUUUUACAUUAAAGCUCAUUAUUCAGUUAUUAAUUUCCAGACUUUUAUGUUACCCAGUAAAUUCAAUGAAGCGAAUUAAUAAUUUGCACAGAACAGCAGUUAAUGGGUUAAAACUGAAAGCUGAGUUUUCUGUAUGCUUUUCAGAUAUAUGAAAUCAUUAAUCCGAAUGGAAAUAGUCACUGUUUUUGCCUGCACAAACCGGUGAGACCUCCUGCAAAACAUGUUUAAAAAGAAAAUGAUUAAUUUAAGAAAAUAAUUAAUUUAUAUUAUGCUAAAUAGGCAAUUUUAAUGGCCUAUUAUAAUUAAUUUAGAUUUAGUUUAGAAAAAUACAUUACAUAAAUUAUAUUUUACAUUUUAUGGUUACUGUAUGUCAUAUUUUUUUUAUUGUUGUAUAUAAAAUAGUUGAAAAACUUUGAAUGGAAGACUUUGUUUUUUUUCUCGCUCAGUCUUUAAAAAAUAAUUUUACAAACAAGCAGCUGCUAUGAUAUACUUUGAAUUUAUUUCACACCAUUUUCCCCCAUAUGCUCGCCUGAAAUCACACUGCAAUUUAAAGUUGCACAUGAUGUGUGCAACAGUGAUUGCACAGACCAUCAUAUCCAUAUAGUGUGCUUUUUUUUUUUUUUUUUUUUACAAUUUACACAUGUCUAAUUACACGGUGUGUUCUGUUUGUAUUGGGGACUGAUUAAAUUAGAACAAGUAAAAAAAAAUCAUCUGUUCGUAUGUUUCAAACUCCUGAAAAGCACAUUUUAAGACUAAUUUGUAUCAUACUGCACCACUUACGAAGCUCUCGAGUGUCUGCUUUGGUUGCAGUGGUAGUGGAAGUAAAACAAAAAAAAGAGAGAGAGACAAUAUACCCAAUAUACACAAACAAGGGAGUAUGUAAGCAAGCUAAUGUGAAAUAAAGCAUCUAUUUGAUAAAACAUUAUGUAAAUCACAGCUUCCGCCAGCUGUGCCCUGUAUUCGUAAGUGAGCCGCAUAUGACUAUAAAUGAUCAUUCCGAUUAAAAUCAUCAUUAUGUGUACUUCAGUGAAGCUUGUAUAUGUGUUCCCCGUCUUCACACACGUCUUAAACAUGACGGCGCUCAGGCGGAAGUGUGUUAAAAAAGUCUUGUUUAUGGCCGUUGUUAAUACUUGAAACAGCAUUACAAUUUGUUGUGCAGUGAGUGUGAAAGCUGUACUUACUCCUCUUAAAAAAGAACCCCUUUUCCAACAGGUUUGUGGUUUGCGGUGCAGUUAAGUGGUGAAGAUGAUAGCAUGCAUGGCUGUGGGAAGCUAUUUGGUGGAGAAAUACCACCUAGCUCAUUCAGUACACUCAGAAUGAUCCGGCCGUGAUGCAUGAAAAUGCUUGUAACUUGCUGCGAAGCACAAAAAUGCUGCAUAAAUAACACUUUUCAAAAUUGAAGUCUGAAAAAUAAAACACACACACUGUUUUUCCACUGUUUUUUUUUUUCAUCAAACUGCCAAUAACAGCAUUGGUUAGUGUUCUGCAUACUUUUAAAAGGUUUAAGUAUUACUACUCACCAUGUUAAGGCCACAUAUAAUGACUAACAAAAUUCUAGGUGGAAGGAAAGAAAUGCGACGGCACCCUUUAAGUGUUUUAACUCUAAUUGCUUCCAAAAGAUUUUAAAUGCAUGUAAAAUGUAAACAUGUGAUGCAGUGAGAAUACCACUGAGCAAACGUUGGCAAUCUAUAUACAAAGAAUGAUCCAUAAAUCUAUUAAACCCUCAGUAGGAUCAGGAUCAGGAUCAGGCAUGUCACUUGCUGUGUCGUCUAAAGGUGAUGUAACCUUAAACUGUGCCUCAAACUGAACCUGAGGCUUGUGUAUGGACGAAAGUGGAACAGCGGGUCAGUUGUCUGCUGUGUUAAGUGUGUGCAGGUCCGGGAGCAGCGAGGAUGAUGUGGAGAGGCCGUGGCCACCGACACCAAGCAGCUCUCAAUGAUGAUGUCACAGCCAAGCGCAUGGGUGAAACACUUGGGAGAAAACGGAGUGGAAGACAUGUGUGGAUCAGUGAAUAAUGCAAGGAAACAAAAGAGACAUUUUCAUUUAUCAAUCACACAUCAAUGAAACGGCCAGAGCCGCCGACUGAUUAGCGGAGCUCGCGGCAUAUUGUAGCGGCAAACUGCACAACUGAUUCUGAACAGUACUGUGUAAUUAUUCUGUCAAAUUAACAGCAAUCCAAUAAAGUGAGCAUUGUAUUUA